ACUGUUUCAGUCUUUCAGAGUCAUGCAAAGGAGAACUCACGUCUGGCCUUUAACAGAUCACAGGCGAGACGAAGAGAGAGCAAGACAGUGAGGUGGGUUACAUUUGUUCACCAUUUCUUCUGGUGUUAAAAUCUGUGUUAGUAUUUAUAGGAAUCGCUUUAAUGGUUUUGGCAAUUUGUUAUAGCAUUUUGUUGACAUUUUCUUCUGUGAUUUGUAAAUCUUAAAUCUUUCUUCUCUUUGGGCAGUAUAACAUAAUCUGAUUCGAAUAAUUAAGAUAGUAUCUUUUCCAAUUCGAACCUAUAUCUACGAAACCAAGCAAAAUACUUCUGAAAUACAAAACUAUAAAGGGUGGAGGGAAUGUUGAAUCUUGAGAUCGUUUCAGGUGGAUUCAAGAGUCUUGAAGAUUUAGGUUUCUUGAGCAAGAAGGAACAUUUUCGAACAUGGAAGCAGGUAAAGUCUUGGACACAAAUCCGACGGAGAACACAACCGUGGCAGAGCUUGGAUCCGAUUCCAUGGCGGUGAUUGGUAGCCAAAGGAAAGCUUCUUUAGCUUGGAUUCCACGGACGUCUUUAACAGAUCCGUAACUGAGUUUUCCGGCGAUAUUCUUGCCGUAGAAAACGAGUUGAUCGGAGAACUUGACGUAGCAACUGGAAAUCAGGUCAACGGUGAAAUCGCCGUCGUCGGAGAUAGUGUACGAUUUGACGUUGUUGGGAAGAAGACCUUUCGGGAAUCCGUAGCGUGGGAGAAGAUCGUGGAUGUCAUCGGCGGCGAGAGAUGGACGGUCGAGAUUUAGAGAAGAGAAGAGAUCGAGGUCGUUGGAUUGAGAGAAGAUCGGACGGCGGAGAUUUAGGGAGGAGGAGAGAGAUAAGAGAGAGAGGAAGAGACAGGAGAAGAGUGCAAGCAAAGAAGAAGCCAUUG